rnacentral:rRNA from 1 species
UACGUAGGUGGCAAGCGUUGUCCGGAAUUAUUGGGCGUAAAGCGCGCGCAGGCGGUCCUUUAAGUCUGAUGUGAAAGCCCACGGCUCAACCGUGGAGGGUCAUUGGAAACUGGGGAACUUGAGUGCAGGAGAGAAGAGUGGAAUUCCACGUGUAGCGGUGAAAUGCGUAGAGAUGUGGAGGAACACCAGUGGCGAAGGCGGCUACCUGGACAGAUACUGACGCUGAGGCGCGAAAGCGUGGGGAGCAAACAGG